rnacentral:rRNA from 1 species
UACGAAGGUGGCAAGCGUUGUUCGGAUUUACUGGGCGUACAGGGAGCGUAGGCGGUUGGGUAAGCCCUCCGUGAAAUCUCCGGGCCUAACCCGGAAAGUGCGGAGGGGACUGCUCGGCUAGAGGAUGGGAGAGGAGCGCGGAAUUCCCGGUGUAGCGGUGAAAUGCGUAGAGAUCCGGAAGAACACCGGUGGCGAAGGCGGCCCGCUGGGCAGAGACUGACGCUGAGGCGCGACAGCGUGGGGAGCAAACGGG